AGAGUUUGAUCCUGGCUCAGGAUGCCCUCUGGCGGCGUGCUUAACACAUGCAAGUCGAACGAUUAACCCACCUUCGGGUGGUCAUAGAGUGGCGAACGGGUGAGUAACACGUGACCAACCUGCCUCAUGCAUCGGGAUAACUGCUGGAAACGGCAGCUAAUACCGGAUACUCUUGCAACUUCGCAUGGAGAUGCAAGGAAAGCUUUUGCGGCAUGAGAUGGGGUCGCGGCCCAUUAGGUAGACGGUGAGGUAGUGGCUCACCGUGCCUGCGAUGGGUAGCCGGACUGAGAGGUCGAUCGGCCACAUUGGGACUGAGAUACGGCCCAGACUCCUACGGGAGGCAGCAGUGGGGAAUAUUGCGCAAUGGGGGAAACCCUGACGCAGCAACGCCGCGUGCGGGAUGAAGGCUUUCGGGUUGUAAACCGCUUUCAGCAGGGAAGAUAAUGACGGUACCUGCAGAAGAAGCCCCGGCUAACUACGUGCCAGCAGCCGCGGUAAUACGUAGGGGGCAAGCGUUAUCCGGAUUUACUGGGUGUAAAGGGAGCGCAGACGGCAGUGCAAGUCUGGAGUGAAAGCCCGGGGCCCAACCCCGGAACUGCUCUGGAAACUGUGCGGCUAGAGUACUGGAGGGGCAGGCGGAAUUCCUAGUGUAGCGGUGAAAUGCGUAGAUAUUAGGAGGAACACCAGUGGCGAAGGCGGCCUGCUGGACAGUAACUGACGUUGAGGCUCGAAAGCGUGGGGAGCAAACAGGAUUAGAUACCCUGGUAGUCCACGCUGUAAACGAUGAAUGCUAGGUGUCGGGGAGCAAAGCUUCCCGGUGCCGCCGCAAACGCAUUAAGCAUUCCACCUGGGGAGUACGUUCGCAAGAAUGAAACUCAAAGGAAUUGACGGGGGCCCGCACAAGCGGAGGAACAUGUGGUUUAAUUCGAUGAUACGCGAGGAACCUUACCCGGGCUCAAACGCAGGAGGAAUACAUUUGAAAGGGUGUAGCUCUACGGAGUCUUCUGCGAGGUGCUGCAUGGUUGUCGUCAGCUCGUGCCGUGAGGUGUCGGCUUAAGUGCCAUAACGAGCGCAACCCCUAUCGACAGUUGCCAACAGGUUAAGCUGGGAACUCUGUCGAGACUGCCGGCGCAAGCUGAGAGGAAGGCGGGGAUGACGUCAAAUCAGCACGGCCCUUACGUCCGGGGCGACACACGUGUUACAAUGGCGGCCACAGCGGGAAGCCAGGCGGCGACGCCGAGCGGAACCCGAAAAGCCGUCUCAGUUCGGAUUGGAGUCUGCAACCCGACUCCAUGAAGCUGGAUUCGCUAGUAAUCGCGCAUCAGCCACGGCGCGGUGAAUACGUUCCCGGGCCUUGCACACACACGCCCGUCA
rnacentral:rRNA from 1 species